rnacentral:lncRNA from 1 species
GUUUCCUUACAGUUCAUCCACACUCCAAAAAGAAAUUUGUUGAGACUCAGACAGGAGGAAGUCCUGCUUCUUUUCAUGUUUGUCAGGACUACAAAGUGGUCUUGGCCCUGGCAUGAGAAAGCUUGAAUUAUAUGGGAUUUUUGAUUCCCACAGCUUCAGUCACUGGUGGAGUCUCUGCUCUGCCCACACAGGGAAGGUUUUAACCCAAGAUCUAUAAUCCUGUGCCAUAGCGUCAGCCUCAGGAAACAGAUGCAACAGUUAAGCCACAGUCAUAGACAAGGAGGACCACCUGCUCUCAGGCAGCAAAGGGCAGCAGCCCUGCAGGGCUCUUCCACACCCUUAGAGCCCCUAAUUGUCCUCAGCUGGGCCUGCCUACUGCUAUUUAAGCUCCAGCUGAGGAGCAUCAUCUGUUAUUGCUUCUCCUGCUUGGCUGCUGGAGGAGUGGGGCUUCCUCUUCGAGGCUGA